rnacentral:lncRNA from 1 species
AGUUCGAACGAUUGCACCCGACCGCUAGGGAAAAAGAAUUAAGCGAGAGGGGAUGAAAUAAGGGUGGAUAUCAUAGCCAAGAUGGAUCGUGGGGGGUGGGUGUUAUCAUGCCACACUUAUUAGGGUCGCUACCUGAUUACUGGGUUCGUUUGGAAGGGUGUGUGAUGAUUUCGCCAAAGUGUCAAUCCAAUAUAGUUUGACUUUUGAGAGAAAUCAAGGUAAAAUGGGCCUAGAUGAGCCAAUGAUUGAAAUGAAAAAGGAUUGGCAAAUUAAAAUUAUUUUUAUGAUUGAAAUGAAUUGAGCGAAUUUUUAAUUCAUGGGCACUGUUUUGUAUUAGAUAACUUGACCACACUAGCCUAGUGCUAAGGACGUCGUCGUACGUAACAAUUUCAGGUACGGAGCACAGAACGAGGUGGAGACGAGACUGAAGUAGAUGACCGCUCCGUAGUCGUUUUAUUAUCUUGAGUAUGUACAGUCUAUUCCGGAACGUUAGUUUCUUUUGAUCUUGUUAGUUGUGAUAACAUUGUGCCGGACUUGUGGCCAGAAAACCUUAGUGUAUAUAAAGGGUAAACAAUACUUUGAAUGACACAUCACUCUGGGUUAUUUUGAAUACGUUUUCGCAUUACUUGUUUAUAAUUCAGUCAUAAUAUCUUGAUUAAAAGAACAAAUUCCCUUAACAACUGAGUUGAGUAAGUAAAAGGCCUGAGUGAGCGAGAUCACUGUCCGGGUCACGAUGACCACCUGUAACAAAGGUGGGCCCACUGGUGUAUAAAGGGAGUCGGGUCGUGACAGACGUGGCAGGAAGUGGAUCAGAGCGUGUUUUACUUCUCUCCGCUUUUAUUAACGAAAAAAAAAAAAAAAAAAAAAAAAAAAAAAAAAAAAACAGAGUGAAUAGGCGUUGACGUGUAGUGCUCUAAAUUGUCUUAUUGAUAAUUGGUAUUAUAUAAUCCUCCAUAUGCCACUAUAGAUGACCGAGAUGGUAAUCUCGUUGAUGGGUGGGCAAGGACAUCGGGUGAAUGCCCAAACCACAAAUGGAUUGAAUUAAGGGAUAUGAUGCAGACAUUAUGGGAAGCAAAGGACUGCCCUCAGCAGCAACUUAUGCAACAACAUCUAAAGCCACGCCAACCACAAACCAAGGGAUCCUCAAUAUUCUAAUGGCGGAGAAAGAGGAAAAUCCAGAAUCGAGGGGUUGGUGGGUAACGUCAGAGUACAGGGGAGAAACACUGAGGACCCCAGCACUACCAGUUGAGAAUGUUAAUAUAGUUAAACAGUUUCUGAAUGAAACUCAAACCACCAACAUUCAGUGGCGAGAUGGACACGGUUACAGGCAACUGAAUGGCUACUAGAGAUGGAAGAAGAAUUUUAGGUUGCUGAGGUGUGGUGAACAGCAAAAAGUGGAAAAUAGGAUCAUACCUAUUGACUUGGCGCAGCUAGCAGAUGGUGGAAUCUGAAGGUGUAAGGGAACCGGGGAAUGAACUGGGGCGCGAUUCAAAAGUACUUUUUAGGGAAAAAGUACUGUGCCAAGGGCGUUUUGCAGAUGCAAAGUGUGCCAGAAUCUUGAGCACCUAUAAAACAGACGGGACAAGGCCUAUUGCGAGUACGACCGGCAGCAUUUUACAAACUUAGCAGAGUAUGGCUCCACACUUGGUAGCCACCAUAUGAGAGACGGCGAGGAGAUUUGAGGAUGGAUGGGGAUGGAUAUGAGAUCAAGAGGGUGAUACGGCCAUUAGUAUUGCCAACAUAUGGCUUGAUGUUCUAGAUCGGCCAUUAUAGUGGAGAAGGAUGAAAUGGGAUGAUGAACUGAAACUUGAGAAGAAAGAAGUAUUUUAAUAGCAAGAAAAGAAAGAAUUUCACAAUCAAGGGCCAAGUGGGACAGAAGAGAGACAAAGUCCGAAAUCCAAUUGGAGGAAUCAAAGGGGGCAAAUACCGAAGUGUUCCGACAUGUGGAAAGAAUCACUCAGGGGAGGGAAUGACUGGGAAAGAGGCCUGAAGGUUAUAUGCUUUUACUGCAACGAGUGGGUCAUAUUAGAAGGAAAUUGUCAAGCUGAGGAACUGGGGGCAAUAGUGCAAGGGGAAAUAAGACGGGGAAAUACAAGGCCAGGAGGAAAUAGUCAGGGUUAAUCAAGGGAAUCGGAGUGGUAAGGGAAUAACCAAAGACAGGACAAGCAUUUGCACUAUGCCAGGCGAUGCUAGAAAUGAUGAAAUCGUGGUUUGUGGUUAACAUACUGGUCUGCUGCUCUUUACUGCCUUAUGUUUUGUUUGCUACGGGCUCUUCACAUUACAUUUGUAUCACAAAAUUUGAUUAGGUAGAUUGAUAAGAAACCGAACCACAGGUAGUGUUAGCAGUGUCACAACCACGAAUAGGGUAUAAUCUGCUCAAAUGCUAUCGAGACUGUAGUGUUUGUGAUGGUGAUACGAGUAAUACCUACGACUUAUUCCGUUGAGACAAUAGGACAUUUUUGAUGUUAUAUUCGGAAAUGGAUGGUUGUCCAGCAAUGGAGCAGCCCAAUCAUGUCCGAAUAAAUGUGUUAAUUUUUUCAGGAAUUCGGAACAAAAAAGAGGUCCGACUGAAGGAGGAUGAGGAUAGUAAUACCCCAUACUUUGUCUCAAGGCUCAUGCCAACAACUCUUGCGAAAGGGUGGGUAGGAUGGAUAUCUAUGUAGUGUGAUGUCGUCUUCGUCAGAAGACUUGUCUGUAACAGGACAUCAUUCCUGUAGUCUGUGAGGUUCCUGAGGUAUUUCCUGAGGAGUUACAAGGGAUGCCUGUGAAUAUGGGAAAAUUGAAUUUCCAUUGAGGUUGUACCCGGAACCAUCCCAAUUUCUUAAAACCCCAUUCGUAUGGCUUCUUGCGGAGUUGAGGAAUAAAGACACAGUUGCAAGAAUUGCUAGACAAAGGUUGUAUAGACCAAGUCGUCGCUUGCCGGUGGGGAAGCACCAGUAUUAUUUGUGAAAAAGAAAGACGGGACGAUGAGGAAAUUCUGUAUUGAUUACCGCGAGGUUGAAUAAGGUUACAAUAAGAAACAAAUAUCCGUUUUUACCAAAGAAUCGACGAUUUAUUUGACCAACUACAAGGAGAUCAGUAUUUUCAAAGAUUGAUUUGCGUUCCGGAUACCAUAACUCAAAGUGAAGUCAGAGGAAUUUGAGAGGAGAGGCAGCUUUUCGAACACGGUAUGACAUUAUAGUUUUAGUAAUGCCAUUUGGGGUGGGGGUAACCAACGCACCUGCAGCAUUUAUGGAUUUGAUAAUCGGAUUUUCAAGAAUUAUUUGAUGGUUUGUGAUUGUUUCAUUGGACGACAUCCUAUCUAUCAAAGAAUAAGAUCAGCAUGCAGACCCAAUUGCGGAUAGUGUUGCAGGUAUGAAGGACCAAAGAGAUUGUAUGCUAAAUUCAAGAAAUGUGAAUUCUGGCUCGGACAGUUGUCGUAUUUUUUGGGGAUGUUAUCAACAGAGAUUACGGGGCCAGAUAUUGUACUAGAAACAAUUAGAGAAAAUCAAGUGAUUCAGGACUCGAUGAAAUGGCACAAAAUCGACAGAAAAGUUUUAUGCUGAUGCAAAUAGAAGAGAACUGGAUUUUCAGAGGCGAUUGCGGUAUUUUUGAAGAUCUCGCCAAUGAAAGGAGUUGUGAGGAUUUGGGAGAAGAAAAAGAAGGGAAAGUUAAAAAACCGACGGUAUGUGGGACCAUUUGAAAUUUGGGAAAAUGGACCAGUGGGCUAUCGGCUUUGUGCUUGACCCCCGAGGUUUUGCAAAUAUCAUGGAUGUGUUUCAUGUGUCAAAUGCUGAGGAAAGGAAUAUGUUGCGUGCAUCCAACUCAUGUGCUGGAAACAACCAACGAACAUUGGAAAGAAACUUGCAAUAGAGGAGCGACCAGACGUGAGGAAUCAUGGAUUCUAGGGUUGAUGAAAACAUGAGGGAAUUAAGGCAUUCCGUUGGUCAAAGUCUGGUGGGAGAAUCAGACGACAGCGGAAAGCAACAGGGAGAAAGAGAGUGAUAUGCGAACAGAAAUUAACCAACAUCUUUGAACUAGGUAACACUUUACACUAUAUUUUAUACAUUGUCGUAGUAGAAUUAUUAGUAUAGAUCGAGUCGGACAUGGAUAAGACAAUCGUAGCGAUAUAGAUAUGACAUAGAUGAGUUUGGAGGACCACUUCCUAGGUGGGGAGGAUUUGUAAUACCAAGACCCGCGAAAACAAAUAUUAAAUUAGAAAUUGAGUGUAAUUAUUUUAAACGGCCAAUGAUAUUUUACGGUAAAAUUUUACGAAACCGAUAAUAUGACACGUUAGAAUACACGACACGAAGCAAAGCAAACCCACACGGGACAGGUGUCACAUGCACGAGUGUGUGCCAAGGUACAAUGUGCUGUGCAUGUGAUGGUGGAGAGGCUAUGUGGUGUGCAUAAUGUGAUGGUGAGGGCUUUGUGGUUGUUGAUAAUGUAAUGAUGCAUAUGUGAUGGUGGAGGCUUAUCGUGGGGUGCAUAAUGUGAUGGCUGGGCCUAAUAAGCCAACAACUUAUACUUGGCUCAGCAUCUCUCAAAAUUCACAAGAAACAAAGAGAUUAAGAGAAAACAGGAGAGAUCCGGGUUUGAAGAAAGAAAAGGAAAAAAAAGAGGGAGGAAGAAGAAUGAAGGGGGAAAAACUGAAGGGAUGUACUGUUUUCUUACUAGGUAAAGUUCAAAUUUAUUUUAUUGAUUUUAUUAUUUUGUAAGCCUUGAUAGACUACCACAUCUAGUUACAUUUAAUCCUUAAAUAUCCCAAAGUAUAGUGCACUUAUACGUAUUUUAAAAAUAAAAUUUGUUCAAACUCGGAGUUUGUUACACUAAAACAGCCACUUGUAAUUUGAUCCUAAUUUUUCCAUAACGAUGUCCGAUAUUACGUGAUUAGAUUCGUUGAAAGUACUAAAAAAUUAUAUACAAUGUUGAUGAAGACCAUUAUUCCCAAGUCCGAUCUAACUGGCCUAAAAAUUUGCCUUAAACAUAAAAUACUAAAAUGGGAAGAAGAAAGAGGUUGA